AACGAACGCUGGCGGCAGGCCUAACACAUGCAAGUCGAACGCCGUAGCAAUACGGAGUGGCAGACGGGUGAGUAACACGUGGGAACGUACCCUUCGGUUCGGGAUAACUCAGGGAAACUUGAGCUAAUACCGGAUACGUCCGAGAGGAGAAAGAUUUAUCGCCGAGGGAUCGGCCCGCGUCUGAUUAGCUUGUUGGUGAGGUAACGGCUCACCAAGGCGACGAUCAGUAGCUGGUCGAGAGGAUGAUCAGCCACAUUGGGACUGAGACACGGCCCAAACUCCUACGGGAGGCAGCAGUGGGGAAUAUUGGACAAUGGGCGCAAGCCUGAUCCAGCCAUGCCGCGUGAGUGAUGAAGGCCCUAGGGUUGUAAAGCUCUUUUACCCGGGAAGAUAAUGACUGUACCGGGAGAAUAAGCCCCGGCUAACUUCGUGCCAGCAGCCGCGGUAAC
rnacentral:rRNA from 1 species